UACUCUAUCUUAAUAUUAUAUUGGGUUUUUCUCUUUUUAGCUGUUACAUUAUGUAUUUGUUGCCAUUUUUGGGAAUUCGUGAUUGGCAUGCACCCUUUAAGUUACUUUGUGAAAGAGUGUUGGGUUCUUGUAAUUUUCUUCAUAAUUUGUGGUUGUUACUGCUCCAUCAUGCUUAUUCGUUUCCGUUAUUUCAUUUUUCAUACUGCUUUGAAUUGCUUGUCCUUAUGCGGAGGGUCUACCGAAAACAGCCUCUCUACGUCCCAAGUGAAGUGGCUGAAGGAGUUGAAUUUCCUGAGGCCAGGCAUAUGGAACCUAGUGGUUACAGAAAGGGUAACAAAAGGAAUCUUGUUACCGUUCAAAAUGGUAAUCAUAGCCCACUGAGUAUAGAUGAGGAGCUGGAUCCAUGGACCGCUUGGGCAUACAAACCUCGUACUAUUACGUUGUUGCUUAUUGGUGCAGGUUUCCUCAUCUGGGCAAGUGGAGCUCUUGAACCGCAAAACACUUCCUCCAGUGAUGUUGCUACUUCUGUGAAAAGGGGCAUUUGGGCAAUGGUUGCUGUUUAUCUUGCCUACUCUCUGCUACAAGCCCCCUCCACGAUUCUUUAUGGAGCUUCUUUUACUCACUUCUCAACUAGGGUACUUAUUAGACCACAUCCUGCCAUUUGGCGCCUGGUUCAUGGAACAGCUGUGAUUUAUCUUGUUGCUUUGACAUUUCUACUUUUUCAGAGGCGAGAUGAUGCUCGGCAGUUUAUGACAUUUCUUCAUCCUGAUCUUGGCAUAGAACUUCCUGAAAGAUCUUAUGGUGCUGAUUGCAGACUCUAUGUACCUGAAAAUCCCACAAACAGGUUUAAGAAUGUUUAUGACACAUUGUUCGAUGAGUUCGUUCUGGCUCAUAUCUUAGGGUGGUGGGGCAAGGCCAUUAUGAUACGUAAUCAGCCUCUUUUAUGGGUCUUAUCUAUUGGGUUCGAGUUGAUGGAGCUUACUUUCCGCCACAUGUUACCAAACUUCAAUGAAUGCUGGUGGGACAGCAUUAUUCUGGAUAUAUUGAUCUGCAACUGGUUUGGCAUAUGGGCUGGAAUGCGUACUGUUCGAUAUUUUGAUGGAAGAACUUAUGAGUGGGUCAGUAUAAGCCGACAGCCAAAUAUUAUGGGCAAGGUGAAGCGAACACUCGGUCAAUUUACACCUGCACAUUGGGAUAAAGAUGAAUGGCAUCCCCUCCUUGGUCCCUGGCGAUUCCUUCAAGUAUUCAGUCUCUGUUUUGUUUUCUUGACUGUGGAAUUGAAUACAUUCUUCUUGAAGUUCUGUCUUUGGAUUCCUCCCAGAAACCCUCUGAUAGUGUAUAGGUUGGUUUUAUGGUGGCUACUUGCUAUACCAACAAUUCGGGAGUACAAUACUUACCUACAGGACAGGUACUUUCUUACCUAUUUUAUUACAUGAAUUAUAAUUUGUAGUAUAUUUUUCUUCCAUUGCAUCACUUUUUCCCGAUACUCCACAUUUAUAUGCAGGAAACCAGUUAAAAAGUGGGAUCAUUUUGCUGGCUUUCACUAGCUAUAUGCAUUGUUGAACUCCUAAUUUGCGUCAAGUUUGGACAUGGAUUGUUUCCCGACCCCAUGCCCAAGUGGAUAGUAAUUUUUUGGACAUGCACCGGCGUUGGCCUUGUGAUAUUUUUGGCUGCAUGGUCAUGGCAAUUACACCGUACAAUGAGGAAAAAGCAGCAAUGAGUUCUUGCAGUAACUCCAUUCUUUAUUCCUUUGUGUUAUUUCGGGUAACCAACCCUCUUGUAUAUACCAAAUACCUUUUUAACUGUACAUGUUUUGUUCCUAGGUUAGGUAUUACAGUUGAAAAAUGUAGUAAACCGCGAUUCUUUAUCUUUAGUCACAGGUCGGUAGAUGCUUUAUUUGUGCUUAUCUCAGUUUGCAGGCUCGUUUUGAAAUAAUUUUUUUUACAGUGUAUGUUGAAAGUAUUGCCAAAUUUAAAUUUCAAUUCUAUAGCCAGGUUAUAUUUGCUCUC